rnacentral:lncRNA from 1 species
AUUUUAUAUUGGCAAGAACUUUCCUAAGAAAGAAAGAACUGAAAAGAAGACUUCCUUUUUUUCCUACCUCUUUUAAAAAUCUUUUAUUUAUUUAUUUAUUUAAUUCUGGUGCUGUGGAUUGAAUGCAUGGCUUUGAGUUUGCUAAAGCCAAAAUGACUUAUAUUUGACAAAGUACUCUUUUUCCAGAUGCUCAAGAAACAUAUGAACAUAGGAAAAAAAUAUUUGUGCUUCUGGUAAGAGAAGGAAUUUAAUUUAACAAGAAAUGAAAUAUAUUUCAGAGCUACAAAAUUUUGAGGAUGCAGAGAAGUUGUACUUACUCUGCAGCUUAAGGUUCAGCUACUUAAGACUCACUCCUCAAAUAAAUGAUUUGAUGGAAUUUCUUUAUCCCUCUUCAUCCCAUAAAUGGCCUCAGGUUGCCUGCAGCUGGCUCAGUUGGAGACUGUGUAUCACCUGCUUCUGUGGCAAAAAUUUUACUUCCACUCUUUCUGCUUCUCCUAGUAGUUGGGAUGCAGUAAGAUUCUUCAUCCAGUCCUUGGAUGUUCAGCUAUGAAUACUAGAUCUCCUUAUAAAACUGUCUAGGAGAAGAGAAGGUAAUUCACAAGUCCAAAAGAUGUGCCAGAAGAAUCCAUAGAACUCUUCAUAAACAUGGCUUUAUAAGACAUCAGACUUGUUGCAGGUUUUCAUACAUGAGCACAUCACAGCCCAUUCAUAAUCUGUGGUCAAGCUAAGAUUUUCCCCUGAGAGAAAGUGUUGUUCUCUGCCUAGGAAUUACUUCCUCACUCUUAUGCCAGAAGUCACCUCCAACUAUCAGAGACUGGCACUCUUACAGCAUUGGUGUACCCUAUUUCUUUAGAAAAACCUUGACUUGUAUUUACCCUGCAUUUUCUUUUUAUCCAGCACCUGGAUCCCACUUGCAAUCAAUUCAUCACUUCCUAAGUAUGGCUAUGGGAGGAGUAUUUCACUGAGCCAAGUUUGGGACCAAGGAACCCUCAGGAAUGUGGCUUUCUGGGGCCAAAUCCUAGUUUCAGGGAUCCAGGUCUGCGUGCAUCACAUGCUGCCACCAACAUGAGGCCAAGCAACUCCCAUUUCUGUGGAGAACAUUUUCUCCUGAUUCUUGGAAAUUAUUUCUCAUUAUUCUGGCAAGAAAGGUAUUCAGAUGGCCUGAAAAUGGCAAGUUUGCAUUCUCAAUUUUUUUUCCUACUUUUUAGUGAAUCCUUUAUCUCAUUUUUUUUCCUAAGCUGCAUGUAGGGUUAUCACAGGCAAGUCCCUUCAUGUGUCUGCUGGCUCCCUACAUGUGAUCAAACUCUCCCCUUCUAACUAUGUCGAAGAAGAGGUUAUUGCAAUAUUUACAUUUGGGCCAAAAGAACCUCAGGAAUGUGACUGGGAUCCCAUUCUGGGAUCAGGAGUCUAAGCAUGUGCCCUAUGUAUCCUGCCUCCAACGUUUGGCCUAGACAUGCCCCCAUGUUUGUUCAAAUGUUUCUCCUAUUUCCAGAAAUUUCUUUACAGCUCUUUCUACCACAAAUUGAGCCAAGUUGCCUACCAUUGGAACACUGAAUCCUGAGUGUCUCCAGAUUCUUCUCCUAAUGGUUUGAGUCAGACAAGUCUCUUCAUUUAUCUCCUAGAAUCCCAGCUGAGAAUAAUCAAACUGUCUUUAGCCUGUCCAGGGGAGUGUAACUCCUAUUCCCAAAGGCUAGGCCAGUGGUGCCCUCAUGAGUGAGGCUUUCUGGGACAUCGAAAAUCAUAUAGGUUUCCAUGAAUGUGCAUUUCUCAAUCCAUUCAGAGCCUGUAGCUGAGCUAUGAACACCACCUCAAAAAAAGAUUUAUUACUCAGCCAUAAAGAAGAAUAAUUUAUGACUUUUACUGGUAAAUGAAAGGAUCUAGAGAAUAUCAUGCUAAGUGAAAUAAGUCAAUCUCUCAAAAGCAAAGAUUGAAUGGUCUCUCUGAUAUGUGGAUGCUAAUACACAACAAGAGGAGGAGAUAGAGGUUCAGUGGAUUAGACAGUGAAUAUUGAAGGGGAAAGAUGGGGAUAGAAAUAGGAAAGACAGUGAAAUGAAUCUGACAUAAGUUUCUUAUGUACAUAUAUAAAUCCACCACAGUAAAAUCUCAACAUUGUGUACAUGCACAAAACUGGGAUACUAUUUAGAAAGAAUAACUCCAUCUUUGAAUAACUGUGUCAAAAGAGACUCUACCGUCAUGUAUAACUAAAAAGACAAUGUGUGUAUGUAUGUAUAUACAUAUACAUAUAUAUACAUUUAUGUAUAUAGAAGGAAUCAGGUCUAGUGUUCUAUAGUAUAUUAGGGUGACUAUUAUUAACAAAAAAUUAUUAUUUAUUUUGUGAAAAAUGAGGACACAGGAGUAUAAAUGUUUUAAACACAAAGAAAUGAUAAAUGUUUGAAAAGGAUAUUGAUUAUCCUGAGUAGGUCACUGCAAAUUGUAUUCAUGGAUUGAAAUAUCACAGUUUACCCCAUAGAUGUAGACAAUUAUAAUGUGUCAAUUGGAAAAGAGAAAGAGACCCUGAAGAGCUAGCUAGCCCCUUCCACCACCGGGAUGAAGAGAGAAGGCACUGACUACAAAGAACAGGCCUAAGACAGACAAUGUAAAUGACAGAAACUUGAUCUUGAACUCCCCAUCCUUCAGAACUAUAAGAAAUAACUGAUUAUUGUUUAUAAGUCAAAGAAUAAUACAAAGUGAAUGUCUGAAUAUAGCACAAUGGAUUGUAAUUUUAUAUAUAGCUAAAAUGUAUCAAUUAAAAAAUGAAUAAAUUGAAUGAAGACCACUAGAGUAGAGAAAGG